GGCCGCGUUGUCGAAGGACCAUCCGCGCUGCCGGAGCCUCUCCACCAGCGCGGCUUCCGAAGAAGAAUACGUCAACGACGCCGCCGCCGCCGCCGCCGCCGCCGCCGACGACGACGACGACGGAGCAGGAGCGGGAGCGGGAGCGGGAGCGGGAGCAGGAGGAGCAGGAGCGGGAGCGGAGGACGAGCUCAGUUCCAUCUCGAGAGAGAAUUCUCUGCAAAAGCAAAAGCUGCGCGGCC
rnacentral:lncRNA from 1 species